rnacentral:rRNA from 1 species
AUUGCCCCAGUAACGGCGAGUGAAGCGGCAACAGCUCAAAUUUGAAAUCUGGCCCCAGGCCCGAGUUGUAAUUUGCAGAGGAUGCUUUUGGCGCGGUGCCUUCCGAGUUCCCUGGAACGGGACGCCAUAGAGGGUGAGAGCCCCGUACGGUUGGACACCAAGCCUUUGUAAAGCUCCUUCGACGAGUCGAGUAGUUUGGGAAUGCUGCUCUAAAUGGGAGGUAUAUUUCUUCUAAAGCUAAAUAUAGGCCAGAGACCGAUAGCGCACAAGUAGAGUGAUCGAAAGAUGAAAAGCACUUUGAAAAGAGGGUUAAACAGCACGUGAAAUUGUUGAAAGGGAAGCGCUUGUGACCAGACUUGCGUCCGGUGAAUCACCCAGCUCUCGCGGCUGGGGCACUUUGCCGGCACAGGCCAGCAUCAGCUCGCUGUCGGGGACAAAAGCUUCGGGAACGUAGCUCUCUUCGGGGAGUGUUAUAGCCCGUUGCAUAAUACCCUUCGGUGGGCUGAGGUACGCGCUCCGCAAGGAUGCUGGCGUAAUGGUCAUCAGCGACCCGUCUUGAAACACGGACCAAGGAGUCAACCUUAUGUGCGAGUGUUUGGGUGUUAAACCCCUACGCGUAAUGAAAGUGAACGCAGGUGAGAGCUUCGGCGCAUCAUCGACCGAUCCUGAUGUUCUCGGAYGGAUUUGAGUAAGAGCAUAUAGGGUUGGACCCGAAAGAAGGUGAACUAUGCGUGUAUAGGGUGAAGCCAGAGGAAACUCUGGUGGAGGCUCGCAGCGGUUCUGACGUGCAAAUCGAUCGUCAAAUAUGCGCAUGGGGGCGAAAGACUAAUCGAACCUUCUAGUAGCUGGUUUCCGCCGAAGU